UUUUAAUAGAAAAGUGUUUGUUAAUCUGAUUAUGAAGUUAUGUAUGAAACGAUGAUGUAAUAAUUGUCUUUCAGGUUCCAUCCUCCUCAUCGAAAACAAGAACAAAAGAACACCCUGUUUGGCCCUUUCUCACCCCACGAACCAAGUCCAUUCUCAAAUGCUGGCAUGUUCCUGCAGCAACGCCCUCAGGACCACCCAUGUUGUCACAAACGGCCAGAUUUCACCAAGAAAAAAAGAUUUUAAAACCAGAACAUACUGUGGACAUCUACUAAGAACAUCGAAAUGAUGCCAUUAAUAUGAGAAGCUUUUUCAAAAUGCAGUGACUAACCAGAGAUUGCAAGCUCCUUGAGAAUAAAAUUCUAUCAGUCAUGUUUAUUGCGGUAUGAGUGCUGCCUAAGAUAUGGAGGAGGGUCAAUAAAUAUUUGUUGAUAGAUUUAUUCUGAUUAUGUCUUUGAAUUCACAGUAGCUAAUACACAGGAAGUGCUCAAUAAUUGUUUGGUGAAUGAAAGCAAUUUGCUAACUGGAAAUUUUUCUAUUAUGUUCCUUUCAUAACCAAUUUCAAUAAAAGACAUAAAUUUCCCAAAGCUAAA